rnacentral:rRNA from 1 species
GAGUUUGAUCAUGGCUCAGAUUGAACGCUGGCGGCAGGCCUAACACAUGCAAGUCGAACGGUAACAGGAAACAGCUUGCUGUUUCGCUGACGAGUGGCGGACGGGUGAGUAAUGUCUGGGAAACUGCCUGAUGGAGGGGGAUAACUACUGGAAACGGUAGCUAAUACCGCAUAACGUCGCAAGACCAAAGAGGGGGACCUUCGGGCCUCUUGCCAUCAGAUGUACCCAGAUGGGAUUAGCUAGUAGGUGGGGUAACGGCUCACCUAGGCGACGAUCCCUAGCUGGUCUGAGAGGAUGACCAGCCACACUGGAACUGAGACACGGUCCAGACUCCUACGGGAGGCAGCAGUGGGGAAUAUUGCACAAUGGGCGCAAGCCUGAUGCAGCCAUGCCGCGUGUAUGAAGAAGGCCUUCGGGUUGUAAAGUACUUUCAGCGGGGAGGAAGGGAGUAAAGUUAAUACCUUUGCUCAUUGACGUUACCCGCAGAAGAAGCACCGGCUAACUCCGUGCCAGCAGCCGCGGUAAUACGGAGGGUGCAAGCGUUAAUCGGAAUUACUGGGCGUAAAGCGCACGCAGGCGGUUUGUUAAGUCAGAUGUGAAAUCCCCGGGCUCAACCUGGGAACUGCAUCUGAUACUGGCAAGCUUGAGUCUCGUAGAGGGGGGUAGAAUUCCAGGUGUAGCGGUGAAAUGCGUAGAGAUCUGGAGGAAUACCGGUGGCGAAGGCGGCCCCCUGGACGAAGACUGACGCUCAGGUGCGAAAGCGUGGGGAGCAAACAGGAUUAGAUACCCUGGUAGUCCACGCCGUAAACGAUGUCGACUUGGAGGUUGUGCCCUUGAGGCGUGGCUUCCGGAGCUAACGCGUUAAGUCGACCGCCUGGGGAGUACGGCCGCAAGGUUAAAACUCAAAUGAAUUGACGGGGGCCCGCACAAGCGGUGGAGCAUGUGGUUUAAUUCGAUGCAACGCGAAGAACCUUACCUGGUCUUGACAUCCACGGAAGUUUUCAGAGAUGAGAAUGUGCCUUCGGGAACCGUGAGACAGGUGCUGCAUGGCUGUCGUCAGCUCGUGUUGUGAAAUGUUGGGUUAAGUCCCGCAACGAGCGCAACCCUUAUCCUUUGUUGCCAGCGGUCCGGCCGGGAACUCAAAGGAGACUGCCAGUGAUAAACUGGAGGAAGGUGGGGAUGACGUCAAGUCAUCAUGGCCCUUACGACCAGGGCUACACACGUGCUACAAUGGCGCAUACAAAGAGAAGCGACCUCGCGAGAGCAAGCGGACCUCAUAAAGUGCGUCGUAGUCCGGAUUGGAGUCUGCAACUCGACUCCAUGAAGUCGGAAUCGCUAGUAAUCGUGGAUCAGAAUGCCACGGUGAAUACGUUCCCGGGCCUUGUACACACCGCCCGUCACACCAUGGGAGUGGGUUGCAAAAGAAGUAGGUAGCUUAACCUUCGGGAGGGCGCUUACCACUUUGUGAUUCAUGACUGGGGUGAAGUCGUAACAAGGUAACCGUAGGGGAACCUGCGGUUG